GAUGAACGCUGGCGGCGUGCUUAAUACAUGCAAGUCGAACGAAGGUUGUAGCAAUACAUCCUUAGUGGCGAACGGGUGAGUAACGCGUUGGUGACCUGCCCCGAAGUGCGGGAUAACAGUCCGAAAGGAUUGCUAAUACCGCAUGGUUUCAUUUGGAUUAGAUGCCAGAUGAGCAAAGGCGAAAGUCGCUUCGGGAGGGGCUUGCGUCCCAUCAGCUAGUUGGUAGGGUAAUGGCCUACCAAGGCAAUGACGGGUAGGGGACCUGAGAGGGUGGCCCCCACAGUGGAACUGAAACACGGUCCAUACACCUACGGGUGGGCAGCAGUAGGGAAGUAUUGGUUAAUGUGCGAAAGCGCGAACCAGCAACGCCGCGUGCACGAUGAAGGCCUCGGUUGUAAGUAGCUUUUGUAGGGAGUGAGGAAGGACGAGUACCCUCAGAAUAAAGUCUCGGCCAACUAACGUG
rnacentral:rRNA from 1 species